rnacentral:rRNA from 1 species
GAUUGCCCUAGUAACGGCGAGUGAAGCGGCAACAGCUCAAAUUUGAAAUCUGGCGUCUUUGGCGUCCGAGUUGUAAUUUGCAGAGGGCGCUUUGGCAUUGGCAGCGGUCCAAGUUCCUUGGAACAGGACGUCACAGAGGGUGAGAAUCCCGUACGUGGUCGCUAGCCUUUACCGUGUAAAGCCCCUUCGACGAGUCGAGUUGUUUGGGAAUGCAGCUCUAAAUGGGAGGUAAAUUUCUUCUAAAGCUAAAUACUGGCCAGAGACCGAUAGCGCACAAGUAGAGUGAUCGAAAGAUGAAAAGCACUUUGGAAAGAGAGUUAAAAAGCACGUGAAAUUGUUGAAAGGGAAGCGCUUGCAGCCAGACUUGCCUGUAGUUGCUCAUCCGGGUUUUUACCCGGUGCACUCUUCUAUAGGCAGGCCAGCAUCAGUUUGGGCGGUUGGAUAAAGGUCUCUGUCAUGUAACUCUCUUCGGGGAGAACUUAUAGGGGAGACGACAUGCAACCAGCCUGGACUGAGGUCCGCGCAUCUGCUAGGAUGCUGGCGUAAUGGCUGUAAGCGGCCCGUCUUGAAACACGGACCAAGGAGUCUAACAUCUAUGCGAGUGUUUGGGUGUCAAGCCCGAGCGCGUAAUGAAAGUGAACGGAGGUGGGAACCUUUCGGGGUGCACCAUCGACCGAUCCUGAUGUCUUCGGAUGGAUUUGAGUAAGAGCAUAGCUGUUGGGACCCGAAAGAUGGUGAACUAUGCUUGAAUAGGGUGAAGCCAGAGGAAACUCUGGUGGAGGCUCGCAGCGGUUCUGACGUGCAAAUCGAUCGUC